UGCCCUGCCAUUUUCCAGAAAUUAGUGGGCGACCUGGUCUGCGGUAAUGCUGAAGUGUUGCUCUGCCUUCCUUGGGUUUUUCAUAGUCAUUCAUGUUUUCUUAGUGCUGUGGGUCAUGUCCACACUCUUAGUGAAAUUAUACCAUGACUUAUUGUUUUCCUUCUUUAUUGCCGAGACCAGUUCUUCAGCGGCUGCUAUGGCAUCCUCAGUGAAUGUAUCUGCUUUGAACUUCUGCUUGUAUUUUUCAUACUUAUCUGACAACUAAGAGAAUCUUUAUCAAUCAAGACCUCUUGGGAACGCAACUCUCAUUUACCCAUUUUACAGAUUUGUUGUAGGAAGAAAAACCCAGCACACAACAAAGGUCACAGCUGCAUAAAAAGAACUGAAAAAUGGAAGAAUAUAAGAAGGAGAGAGCCACAUGCAAUCAUAGAGAAGACAGAUACAUCAGUGCAAAGUUGUCACAGUUCAGCUCAAGAUCAAGCUGGCUGCAGGAAUCAUCAUAAAUAUCUGACAUGUUGAGGUUAAAGAAAAUAUAUAAGCAUUACAAUGACUAGAUAAUAGAACCACAAAUGACUGUUCAAAUGUGCUUACCUCUUUAAACUCUGGUGGUUGCUUGUAUUACUUCAUACUUAUUUCAUGAUUAAAUUGAAGAAGAUAAGGAUUUUAAAGUGUCUUCAUUGCUU